rnacentral:rRNA from 4 species
UACGUAGGGUGCAAGCGUUAAUCGGAAUUACUGGGCGUAAAGCGUGCGCAGGCGGUUUUGUAAGUCUGUCGUGAAAUCCCCGGGCUCAACCUGGGAAUUGCGAUGGAGACUGCAAGGCUAGAAUCUGGCAGAGGGGGGUAGAAUUCCACGUGUAGCAGUGAAAUGCGUAGAGAUGUGGAGGAACACCGAUGGCGAAGGCAGCCCCCUGGGUCAAGAUUGACGCUCAUGCACGAAAGCGUGGGGAGCAAACAGG